rnacentral:rRNA from 1 species
AACAAACGCUGGCGGCGUGCCUAAUACAUGCAAGUCGAACGGGGAAAGCUUUCGGGUGAGUACUAGUGGCGCACGGGUGAGGAACGCGUGGAUAAUCUGCCUUAGAGUGGGGGAUAACUAGUCGAAAGAUUAGCUAAUACCGCAUAAGACCACAGGAGCUGCGGCUCAAGGGGUCAAAGGUUUUUCGCUCUAAGAUGAGUCCGCGUAAGAUUAGCUAGUUGGUGAGGUAACGGCUCACCGAGGCGACGAUCUUUAACUGGUCUGAGAGGAUGAUCAGUCACACUGGAACUGAGACACGGUCCAGACUCCUACGGGAGGCAGCAGUAGGGAAUAUUGCACAAUGGAGGAAACUCUGAUGCAGCGACGCCGCGUGAGUGAUGAAGGCCUUCGGGUCGUAAAGCUCUGUCGCAGGGGAAUAACACAAUGAAUGUACCCUGUAAGAAAGGAUCGGCUAACUUCGUGCCAGCAGCCGCCGUAAAAC